AUUACAGGUGCAUUUUGGAAACAAGUUCUUUUGGUUGGUAGAACGUGUAAUGAUACGUAACCUAUGUUUUUCUGAAAAUAGUGGGGUAGUGACAACGCAACAUUCAUAAACCUCGGGGUGGGGUGGGGGUGUCCGAAACUUCCGUGUAGUUUUGCUGAUAAGUCGGGGCUGAAUGCUUGUUGUGUUGUAUGCCUCUGCCUACAUGCUAUGCUGAUCCAAAUUUUGGGAAGUAGGAUCGGUCUUAAGCUUAUUGAUUUCAUCUUAUGUUUAGGCAACUUAUAAUUUCCAUAGUAUUUGUCAUCAAUAACAGUGGAAUAUCAAUCAAGU
rnacentral:misc_RNA from 1 species